GAUGAACGCUGGCGGCGUGCCUAAUACAUGCAAGUCGAACGCUUUGUGGUUCAACUGAUUUGAAGAGCUUGCUCAGAUAUGACGAUGGACAUUGCAAAGAGUGGCGAACGGGUGAGUAACACGUGGGAAACCUACCUCUUAGCAGGGGAUAACAUUUGGAAACAGAUGCUAAUACCGUAUAACAAUGACAACCGCAUGGUUGUUAUUUAAAAGAUGGUUCUGCUAUCACUAAGAGAUGGUCCCGCGGUGCAUUAGCUAGUUGGUAAGGUAAUGGCUUACCAAGGCGAUGAUGCAUAGCCGAGUUGAGAGACUGAUCGGCCACAAUGGGACUGAGACACGGCCCAUACUCCUACGGGAGGCAGCAGUAGGGAAUCUUCCACAAUGGGCGAAAGCCUGAUGGAGCAACGCCGCGUGUGUGAUGAAGGGUUUCGGCUCGUAAAACACUGUUGUAAGAGAAGAAUGACAUUGAGAGUAACUGUUCAAUGUGUGACGGUAUCUUACCAGAAAGGAACGGCUAAAUACGUGCCAGCAGCCGCGGUAAUACGUAUGUUCCAAGCGUUAUCCGGAUUUAUUGGGCGUAAAGCGAGCGCAGACGGUUAUUUAAGUCUGAAGUGAAAGCCCUCAGCUCAACUGAGGAAUUGCUUUGGAAACUGGAUGACUUGAGUGCAGUAGAGGAAAGUGGAACUCCAUGUGUAGCGGUGAAAUGCGUAGAUAUAUGGAAGAACACCAGUGGCGAAGGCGGCUUUCUGGACUGUAACUGACGUUGAGGCUCGAAAGUGUGGGUAGCAAACAGGAUUAGAUACCCUGGUAGUCCACACCGUAAACGAUGAGUGCUAGGUGUUUGAGGGUUUCCGCCCUUAAGUGCCGCAGCUAACGCAUUAAGCACUCCGCCUGGGGAGUACGACCGCAAGGUUGAAACUCAAAGGAAUUGACGGGGACCCGCACAAGCGGUGGAGCAUGUGGUUUAAUUCGAAGCAACGCGAAGAACCUUACCAGGUCUUGACAUCCCUUGACAACUCCAGAGAUGGAGCGUUCCCUUCGGGGACAAGGUGACAGGUGGUGCAUGGUUGUCGUCAGCUCGUGUCGUGAGAUGUUGGGUUAAGUCCCGCAACGAGCGCAACCCUUAUUACUAGUUGCCAGCAUUUAGUUGGGCACUCUAGUGAGACUGCCGGUGACAAACCGGAGGAAGGUGGGGAUGACGUCAAAUCAUCAUGCCCCUUAUGACCUGGGCUACACACGUGCUACAAUGGCGUAUACAACGAGUUGCCAACCCGCGAGGGUGAGCUAAUCUCUUAAAGUACGUCUCAGUUCGGAUUGUAGGCUGCAACUCGCCUACAUGAAGUCGGAAUCGCUAGUAAUCGCGGAUCAGCACGCCGCGGUGAAUACGUUCCCGGGUCUUGUACACACCGCCCGUCACACCAUGAGAGUUUGUAACACCCAAAGCCGGUGGGGUAACCUUCGGGAGCCAGCCGUCUAAGGUGGGACAGAUGAUUAGGGUG
rnacentral:rRNA from 1 species